UACAGAGGGUGCAAACGUUGCUCGGAAUCAUUGGGCGUAAAGCGCACGUAGGCGGCGCGUUAAGUCGGGUGUGAAAGCCCUGGGCUCAACCCAGGAAGUGCAUUCGAAACUGGCGCGCUUGAAUAUGGAAGAGGGUCGCGGAAUUCCCGGUGUAGAGGUGAAAUUCGUAGAUAUCGGGAGGAACACCAGUGGCGAAGGCGGCGACCUGGGCCAAUAUUGACGCUGAGGUGCGAAAGCGUGGGGAGCAAACAGG
rnacentral:rRNA from 1 species